CACUGGUUAUAAGCUAAGGUUGGGGGUUAUAUAGUGUUGCUGAGCUUGUUCACUAGGUCAGAAGAUAGUGCCACUAUCACAGAUUAAGAUAUAAUAUCAAGAGAAAUAUUUAGAAUGACUAGCAAUAGCUACAGCAGCAGUCUAAAAUAAACAAUAAGAAUAUCUAGUAGAGCUUACAGAGUAGAAUGAAUACUUAAGAUAUGUGUUGUGAAGAGGUAUACUUAAGGUGAGCUUAUAGUUGUACUAUAUAACUGAGUAUAAGUAGAGAUGAAAACAAUAAGAUAAAAAGAGAAUAAGAUUGAUUG
rnacentral:sRNA from 1 species